GAUGUAAACUUAGAAUUCUGAUGGAAAAAAAUGUCUGAAUUGUGAGAUAUCAAGUAGCAACUGCGAGAAACAUUCUGAAUUGUGAGAUUAAAGCCAAAACCAGUCAUUCAAACCUAGACAAACAAACAAGUGCACAUUUCUGUCAAGAUUUAUUUCUGAAUAAGUCUGCACUUACAGGAAGACAGUUGUAUUGCAAAGACAGAUUUUAGACUGUUUUGAUGACUGAAAGCCCACUGAUGGCUAAUGAAAUCAAAACUAUCACCAGAAACCAAAACGCUUCAGCACGGCAACGGCUGACCGAUCCCAAAAACUCCAGGUCUUUUCAUUCAUUACUAAAACAAGGUCAAGCACUGCUGAAGGCGUUUGAUGGUCAGUAUGUGUAGUUUCCAGCAGAGCUGCAUGUCUACGAUAUGUAAGAACGGGAUAUUUAUGCUCUGAUGGGCCACUUUUGAUGCAAAGAGGUUGAUACGACUAUAGCUAACCUUUUUUUUUUUUUCUCAGAACAUACUCCCAAUACGUGUUGAAAGCUCAUGCAGACAUGUAGCAUAAAAUAAAACACACCAAUUCCAAUUAAAACAACCCUUUUGCAUGUCUCCAAGGCCUUGAACUUCUUAGUAAGACUUUCCGUUCAAGCUCGCCUGAAAAUAAUCGCUUUCAGUACCUGACAGUAGCAGCGCAGGUGUGAGGUGUUUCAAUCAGGUAGUUCUUGAUCAGUGAGAAAUUAACAACAACAACAACAGCAACAACAACAGCAGCAGCACACACACA